UACGGAGGGUGCAAGCGUUGUCCGGAUUUAUUGGGUUUAAAGGGUGCGUAGGCGGCCUAUUAAGUCAGUGGUGAAAGCCAACAGCUCAACUGUUGAACUGCCAUUGAUACUGAUAGGCUUGAGUACAGACGAGGUAGGCGGAAUUGAAGAUGUAGCGGUGAAAUGCAUAGAUAUCUUCAAGAACACCGAUUGCGUAGGCAGCUUACUAGGCUGUAACUGACGCUGAGGCACGAAAGCGUGGGGAGCGAACAGGG
rnacentral:rRNA from 1 species